AUUUGAUCAUGGCUCAGAUUGAACGCUGGCGGGAUGCUUUACAUGCAAGUCGAACGGCAGCACGGACUUCGGUCUGGUGGCGAGUGGCGAACGGGUGAGUAAUGUAUCGGAACGUGCCUAGUAGCGAGGGAUAACUACGCAGCGUAGCUAAUACCGCAUACGCCCUUCGGGAAGCGGGGGACCUUCGGGCCUCGCACUAUUAGAGCGGCCGAUAUCGGAUUAGCUAGUUGGUGGGGUAACGGCUCACCAAGGCGACGAUCCGUAGCUGGUUUGAGAGGACGACCAGCCACACUGGGACUGAGACACGGCCCAGACUCCUACGGGAGGCAGCAGUGGGGAAUUUUGGACAAUGGGGAAACCUGAUCCAGCCAUCCCGCGUGUGCGAUGAAGGCCUUCGGGUUGUAAAGCACUUUUGGCAGGAAAGAAACGGCCUGGAUAAUACCCCGUGCAACUGACAGUACCUGCAGAAUAAGCACCGGCUAACUACGUGCCAGCAGCCGCGGUAAUACGUAGGGUGCAAGCGUUAAUCGGAAUUACUGGGCGUAAAGCGUGCGCAGGCGGUUCGGAAAGAAAGAUGUGAAAUCCCAGAGCUUAACUUUGGAACUGCAUUUUUAACUACCGAGCUAGAGUGUGUCAGAGGGAGGUGGAAUUCCGCGUGUAGCAGUGAAAUGCGUAGAUAUGCCGGAGGAACACCGAUGGCGAAGGCAGCCUCCUGGGAUAACACUGACGCUCAUGCACGAAAGCGUGGGGAGCAAACAGUUAGAUACCCUGGUAGUCCACGCCUAAACGAUAUCAACUAGCUGUUGGGGCCUUCGGAGCCUUGGUAGCCUGUACGCGUGAAGUUGACCGCCUGGGGAGUACGGUCGCAAGAUUAAAACUCAAAGGAAUUGACGGGGACCCGCACAAGCGGUGGAUGAUGUGGAUUAAUUCGAUGCAACGCGAAAAACCUUACCUACCCUUGACAUGUCUGGAAUCCCGAAGAGAUUUGGGAGUGCUCGCAAGAGAACCGGAACACAGGUGCUGCAUGGCUGUCGUCAGCUCGUGUCGUGAGAUGUUGGGUUAAGUCCACAACGAGCGCAACUACUUGUCAUUAGUUGCUACGAAAGGGCACUCUAAUGAGACUGCCGGUGACAAACCGGAGGAAGGUGGGGAUGACGUCAAGUCCUCAUGGCCCGCCUUGAUCAGGGCUUCACACGUCAUACAAUGAGGUCGGGACAGAGGGUCGCCAACCCGCGAGGGGAGGCCAAUCCCAGAAACCCGAUCGUAGUCCGGAUCGCAGUCUGCAACUCGACUGCGUGAAGUCGGAAUCGCUAGUAAUCGCGGAUCAGCAUGUCGCGGUGAAUACGUUCCCGGGUCUUGUACACCGCCCGUCACACCAUGGGAGUGGGUUUUACCAGAAGUAGUUAGCCUAACCGUAAGGAGGGCGAUUACCACAGUAGGAUUCAUGACUGGGGUGAAGUCGUAACAAGGUAG
rnacentral:rRNA from 1 species